rfam:Plesiomonas shigelloides 302-73 genomic scaffold scaffold00002, whole genome shotgun sequence.
GGACGAGCCCUUGGAGAGAUCCAUUGAGUUGGACGCCGAAGGCGCAAGGUGGCUCCCGCCACUCAAACGCUCAGGCAAAAGGACAGGGGAAGAGAU